rnacentral:lncRNA from 1 species
GAAAGUCAGAAGAGAGAGAGAGAGAGAGAGAGAGAGAGAGAGAGAGAGAGCCAAAUCCUGAACAAGGCCAGCUUUAGCCAGCACGAUAUGGGAAGUCUGCUUAACCCUUACAAGGAAAAGAACUUUGAAAUGACCAAUUGCUAUUCUUUCCUUGUUUUUGCUUUCUUCAACCUCUUCAUGUCUAAUCUGGACACAAAACUGCCCUUCCUUCUUAUGACUUCUUUUUCUUUGGGCAUCUGAUGCUCUUGGCAUACUCUUGUGAGUAAAAUCACCUUCCUUCUCUAUGUGUUAAUUAUUGCAUUUAUUCAUUUAGUGGGGAAAAAUGGGUGGUAUGGACUGUUUAUGCCCCCGCCCCCGAAAAUGAAUAUGAUGAAACCCAAACCUCCAGUACCUCUGAAUGUGACUGUAUUUGAAUCUAGAGUCUUUAAAGAGGUAAUUAAGGUUAAAUGAGGCCAUUAGGGUGGAGCUAGCCUAAUCUGAGUGCGUCCUUAGAAAAAGAGGAAAUUGGGGCACACAGGACACAAGGAUGUUCUUGCCUAGAGGAAGGGCCACAUGAAGACCCAGAAAGAAGAUAGACAUCUAAUCCUGGGGCAGGGAAGAAGGCUCAGAAAAAACUAGCCCUGCUAACAAUUUGGUCUUGCACUUUCAGCUUUGGAACUGUGAGAAAAUCCAUUUCUGCUGUUAAAGCCAUGAGGGCUGUGGUUCUUCGUUAUGGCAGCUCUAGGACACUAACACAGUAAGAAAAAAAUAAAACCCUUUUUGUUUUUCAUAGAAUCAGCUCUUUGAAAGGAGUAUCUAGUUAAUGACACGGAAUAGUCCAGCAGCUUUCCACAGCUUCUAUCUUUUGGUUUGUUGUAGAAAAGCUUUAACCUGAGAGAUUUUUCCAACCUAAAAUGAUUCUUGGUCUUUCACUUUCAUGAUUUAACUGCUACUUUAUAUAGUUUUUCUGAAACUGUAGUAGGUGUUUCCAGGCCAAGAAAGAUGGACAUCUCUCUAGAUGACAAUGAACCUUUAAAUUAAAGAAAAAAAAAUGUUUU